CUCCCAGAGACCAAGAGAUUCUGGUGCUUCUAUUUUGCCUGUUGCUAGUGUGUUCCUGGGUAAAGAUAUGACAACCUUGUCUGAUCAGGUUGAUAUCAUAGCCAGGGCACAAAGAAAGCAUGAAGUUUUCAUGAUGAAGCA